rnacentral:rRNA from 1 species
AGAGUUUGAUCAUGGCUCAGAUUGAACGCUGGCGGCAUGCCUUACACAUGCAAGUCGAACGGUAACAGGUCUUCUGAUGCUGUCAAGUGUGGAACGGGUGAGUAAUACAUCUCAACGUGCCCCCUAAUGGGGGAUAUCUCUCCGAAAGCCGGAUUAAUACCCCAUACGCCCUGAGGGGGAAAGUGGGGGACCGCACGGCCUCUCGUUAUUGUAGCGGCCGAUGGCUGAUUAUCUAGUUGGUAGGGUAAAGGCCUACCCCGGCGACAAUCUCUAUCUGGUCUGAGAGGACAAUCUCCCACACUGUGACUGAGACACGGCCCCCACUCCUACAGGAGGCACCACUGGGGAAUUUUGUACAAUGUGGGAAACCCUGAUCUACCAAUGUCCCGUGUGCGAAAAAAGCCUUCUCGUUGUGAAGCACUUUUGUCUCGGAAGAAAUCCUUUGUGCUAUUACCCUAUGGGGAUAACAGUACCUGUGGAAUAUGCACCGGCUAUCUACAUGUCACCAGCCGCGGUAAUACGUAUGGUGCGAGCGUUUAUCUCAAUUACUGUGCGUAUAGCGUGCGCACGCGGUUGUGUAAGACACGUGUGAAAUCUCCGGGCUUUACCUGUGAAUUGCGUUUGUGACUGCGCGACUAUAGUGUGUCUCAGAGGGGUGUAAUUCCCGUGUAUCACUGAGAUGCGUAUAUAUGUGUAGGACACCAUGUCGAAGCGCCCCCUGUGAUACACUGACCUCUGCGCGAAACGUGGGAGACACACGAUAUAUACCUGGAGUCCCGCCUAACGAGUCACUAUUGUUGGGAUUACUUCUUGGGACGUGCUACACGUGAGUUACACCUGGGAGACAGCGCAGGU